CCCCAGUCCCCAAACACCCCGCAGGGUUCUCAGUGCUCGGCAAAAUGAAUUCAACCUAAAUCCAAGGGCGGUGACAGGAGGAGGGCUCUAAACAAAUGUUUCAAAUUUGGAGUUCCUGAUUUGGACAUGGAGAAGCCGCCAGUUGUUACUGGAAUCUCCUGUAAAAGGAAGGGCAGUGGAAGGGCAUCCUGAGACAUGGGAGCUGAGGAACCUCAUAGCUCUGAGAGGAAGCCUCCUCAGCAGAAGAGUUGCAGCUCCCAGGGGAGGGUGUCCCCACCUGAGCUGAGGACCAGGAGCCUCAGCCCUGUAGGGAUAUUGGGGCCCCGCAUCUGCUCCACCACAGGGCUCAGCCACUCAGGGAGGCAGGACGCAGGAAGUUGACCAUGUUUAUUUACCGUGUUUAUUUAUACCAUCACCAGACAGGCCCGGGACAUGGCUCCAGGGGUGGGGAAGUGCAGUCUGAGGCACCGAUGGUUCUCAGGUUCUCGGACAUCCAGGUGCUGCUGGGAGACGCAGAAGACCUGAGAAUGGAGCGAGGCCCUGCAGGCUAGACCUAGCCUGGGACAGGUGUGUGUGUGUGUGUGUAGCUCCAGCUGGUCCCACAGGGAGAGAGUCCUUGACUUAGCAGCAGCAGUGGGGCUCGAGCUUGGCUUGGUGGCAACUGUGACUGGGAGUGCAGAGAGGCCUUCUAUGGGAGACUAGACUGUGGCUCCAUAGGUGAAAGCCCUCUCCAAGGCUUCCCACGGUGGAUCCCGAUGAAAAGAGGCAGUCCAUGGUUUUAAGGCAUUUAUUGUCAUGGUGAAAGUAGAUGAGUAAAACUGAAGUUAAAUACCAUUUGCAGGGAGGAGUGUCUGGGAAGGAAAGCUUAUUGGCUAAAGCCCUCCAGGCCUUUAAGUAACUCAUUAAAAUGGAGAUCUGUCUUGAGCCUACAUGACCACAGGUCAUGUCUUCUCCCUGUGGAGGGGCUUAGGGCAUUGCCUUUACAUGACUGGUGGACACAAAUCUAUGGGGAGCUUUGGCUAGUGACAGGGACCUGGUGCCGGGAGCAGGCGAAAUGCCUACCAUCCCUUCAAGGUCUCUGGAUUUUAAACCUUAGCUCAACUAGGGACCAAGCUGCCAUUCACGGUCCCACAUAGCCCCACUCCUUCCCUUUGCUUCUUUUGUUCUUUUUGUUGCUUCUUUUCUUCUUGCCUUCUUCCAAUGAAAGAGUCAAAACAGGCAGCAAAUCUCAUGAAAGAGAAUUUUUGGAGGGCCCAUGAUGCAGAGGAAGGAAUCUAGGAGUGGCUGCCUCUGCUUCCAGGAGUGAGCAACAGAGAAUUAAAGAGCGGGUCUUACUGAGGAUAUCUGAGGAGGCUUUUCAGGGCGGGGAUUUCCAGAUUGAGGAUUGGUGAAAUUUCAAGUCCUGAGCUUGAGGAAGUCAGAGAUUGGUGGGGUUUCCUGUUCAGGGAUUAGGGGCUCCCCCCCCAAUCCCCUUUCCCUGCAGGGCCCCAUGGGUUAGGGUGGAAAGUCUCACCUGGCUUUGGCUUUGGCUGAGGUGCCAUAUCUAUGGAUCUGCUCUGGGAGGCCGGAGAGGAGAGCCUGACUUUGUGGACAGCUCCUGCAGCGGUAUUUCAUCAGGGUUGUAGGCUGAGGCAGGAAAGACGGUAUCAUCACCACGGACAGCUCCUGGUGGGCGGGCAGCUCCUGUUGAGGUGGAAAGGAGAUGUGCCACUGCAGACAACUCCUGUGAAGGCUGCCAUUUUGACAGGAGCCACCAUUUUUGACAGCUCCGAGGUUGGGGUUGGGGUGGGGCAUCUCAUCUUGACCUUAGGAUAGAAUGGAAAGGAGGAGCCUUCCGCAGCUUUGAUAGCUUUUGAGGUGUGAUGCUUAGGGGCUACAGAAAGGCCUUUAAAAUGUGUGGAUACUUUACACAACACCAGAAAAUUCAUACUAGUAAAAAACGUUUCAAUUGUAAAGGAUUUGGGAAGGCUUUUAUUCCGCUUCCAUCUUUGCUCAACACCAGAGAAUCCACACUGAUAAGAAACCUCAUAUAAGUCAUUAGCAUGGGAGGUCCUACAGAUAUGGCUCACCCCUUAAUGUACAUCAAAGAAUUGGUGCGUCUGUGAAAAUCUAAGCAUAGAGGGAACACGAGGAAGCUUUGAAUGUGGCCCAAUUUUUUUCUUUCAUUUCAUGACUUCAUAGAAAUGCAACAAAAACUUCUGGUGAUGUUAUGGCGGCUUCUUGUUACUUCCUCAGACUCGGGCCGAUCGGCAGAGUGAUGUCAGACGAUACAGUGGAGUUUUGCUAAGACAGACUCAUGUGUUGUUUUGCUGAGGCAAGACACAUGGGUGGACAUGUGGUGUUUGGAGGUAGUAUAAAUAGGACUAGACAGACUGUGUGGAGCUUGCAUAGCUAGCUUGGCAACACUUUAUUGGUCUUGAGAUUUUGCUGAUCUUCACUUUGUUGAGAGCAGCAUGGCAGAGAACUUCUAGUGUCCCUGCUGGUCCUGGUGCAGAUUCAGCAGAGACCUGGCUGUCUCUGCUGUGUUGUGCCACCGCUGCUGAUUAGUGUUUGCUAUCCUGAUGCAACUGAACUGGACUGUUGGUAUAUAUCCUGUCAAUGCAGAUUGGAGUUGCUCCAAAGAACUAUUUAUAAACAGGUCCAUUUCCCCUGAAUCCAAAUAACUUUCCUUUUCUACUACCUAUGGUGGGUGGUGGGUUUUAAGACAGGUUAAA
rnacentral:lncRNA from 1 species